AAUAUUGCACAAUGGGCGAAAGCCUGAUGCAGCAACGCCGCGUGAACGAUGAAGGCUUUCGGGUCGUAAAGCUCUGUCCUAAGGGAAGAGAAUGACGGUACCUUCGGAGGAAGCCCCGGCUAACGACGUGCCAGCAGCCGCGGUAAUACGUAGGGGGCAAGAGUGAGCCGGAUGCAGUGGGCGUAAAGGGUGCGUAGGCGGCCCUAUGGGUCAGAAGUCAAAGGCUACGGCUACACCGUAGUAAGCCUUUGAAACUGUAGGGCUUGAGUGCAGGAGAGGAGAGUGGAAUUCCUAGUGUAGCGGUGAAAUGCGUAGAUAUUAGGAGGAACACCAGUGGCGAAGGCGACUCUCUGGACUGCAACUGACGCUGCGGCACGAAAGCGUGGGGAGCGAAC
rnacentral:rRNA from 1 species